rnacentral:rRNA from 1 species
GCUCAGAACGAACGCUGGCGGCGUGGAUAAGACAUGCAAGUCGAACGGUUUCUUUUGGCGCUUGCGUUAAGAGGAAUAGUGGCGAACGGGUGCGUAACGCGUGGAGACAUUCCGGUGAGAUGCGGAUAGCUCAGGGAAACUUGAGGUAAUACGCAAUGUAAUCGAGAGAUAAAAGGUGGGGACAUUAGCCCAUCGCUCACUGAUUGAUCCGCGCCCUAUCAGCUAGUUGGCGGGGUAAAAGCCCACCAAGGCUACGACGGGUAACUGGUCUGAGAGGAUGAUCAGUCACACUGGAACUGCGACACGGUCCAGACACCUACGGGUGGCAGCAGUCGAGAAUCUUUCACAAUGGGGGGAACCCUGAUGGAGUGACGCCGCGUGGAGGAUAAGGUCUUCGGAUUGUAAACUCCUGUCAUAUGUGAAAAAAUAGCCCAAAGUAAUAUUUUAGGUGAUUGAUUGUAGCAUAAGAGGAAGAGGCGGCAAACUCUGUGCCAGCAGCCGCGGUAAUACAGAGGCCUCAAGCGUUGUUCGGAAUCACUGGGCGUAAAGGGUGCGUAGGUUGUUGAUUAAGUCGGUUGAUAAAGUCCAUGGCUCAACUGUGGAAUCCAUCCGAUACUGGUUGACUUGAGGCUCGGGGAGGGGGUUGGAAC